rnacentral:tRNA from 1 species
UGACCUAUAGCUCAGUUGGUAGAGCACGGAGCUGUUAACUCUGUUGUCCUAGGUUCGAGUCCUAGUGGGUCAG